rnacentral:rRNA from 1 species
AUUGAACGCUGGCGGCAUGCUUUACACAUGCAAGUCGAACGGCAGCGCGGGGGCAACCCUGGCGGCGAGUGGCGAACGGGUGAGUAAUGCAUCGGAACGUAUCCUGUAAUGGGGGGAUAACGUAGCGAAAGUUACGCUAAUACCGCAUACGCUCGAGAGAGGAAAGUGGGGGAUCGCAAGACCUCACGUUAUAGGAGCGGCCGAUGUCCGAUUAGCUAGUUGGUGGGGUAAAGGCCUACCAAGGCGACGAUCUGUAGCGGGUCUGAGAGGAUGAUCCGCCACACUGGAACUGAGACACGGUCCAGACUCCUACGGGAGGCAGCAGUGGGGAAUUUUGGACAAUGGGCGCAAGCCUGAUCCAGCCAUGCCGCGUGAGUGAAGAAGGCCUCGGGUUGUAAGACUCUUUCGGUCCCGGGGAAGGAAAGUACGCAUGGGUUAAGUAACCCUCGUGUGGAUGACGGUACCGGAAGUAAGAAGCACCGGCUAACUACGUGCCAGCAGCCGCGGUAA